UACGGAGGGGGCUAGCGUUGUUCGGAAUUACUGGGCGUAAAGCGCGUGUAGGCGGCUUUGCAAGUCGGGUGUGAAAGCCCUCGGCUCAACCGAGGAAGUGCGCCCGAAACUGCAGAGCUUGAGUACCGGAGAGGAUGGCGGAAUUCCCCAAGUAGAGGUGAAAUUCGUAGAUAUGGGGAGGAACACCGGUGGCGAAGGCGGCCAUCUGGACGGAUACUGACGCUGAGACGCGAAAGCGUGGGGAGCAAACAGG
rnacentral:rRNA from 1 species